GGAAGGGGAGGAUGCUGGCAGGGAGGGGGAGGGGGAGAGAGAGCAGACAGGGGAGGAGAGAGGAAGAGAAGAGAAGGGCAGACAAGGAAACCAAGAAGGGCAGGAACAGCAAGAAGGAGAGACAAGGCAGCCCCUGCGGGACGGAGGAGGGAACCCUGAAGACUUCCCUGCUUGGUCUGCUUCCCUGGAGGCUCAGCUGUCAGCCCCGCCCCGAGCUCUGGGAACAGCUUUUUCCUCAUUCUGCUUAGUGGCAGGCCCUGCCCAUUCCGGGUAAAGGCCUGUCUUCAGAGAUCUUAGAAUAUAUUGCCUGGCAAGAGUCUUUCUGCAUGCCUGAGGCCUCGUGCCAUGAUGGACCAGUUUGACCGGAUAUGUUUAUCCUGACAGUGUGAUUUCUGGCAAAUGCCUGUGUUUCCUCUGGGGCUGGGUGGGCGCUGCAGGCUUUCGUGACUGAGCUCCAGUAAAAACUCUGGCCACCGUGGCUCAGGGGACAGUCCCUGGUUGGGAACGCUUUGCACCUGUUUCCACAUUGUUGGGGGAAUUAAAUGUGUCCCAUGUGACUCUGUCGGGAGGGACCCCCAGAAGCUUGUGCCUGGUGUCUCCUGAGCUUCUCCCAGGUGCCUUUCUCCUCUGCUGACUUUCAUCUGCAUCCUUUCCCCAUCACAAACCGUACCUGUGAGUAUAACAGCUUUUUCUGUGUGGUGUGAGUCCAUCCAGUGAACUGUCCGGCCUGAGGAUGGUCCUGGGGACGCCUGACACAGGGGUUUAAUGUGGCUUAUGCAUACUUCUCUCCCUUGGAAACAAAAGAGCCUUGUCUGAGGCAACUUGGAAUGACAAAGAUGUGGCAGAAGGGGGCCCAGCAGAAAAUAGCACACUUGACCUGAGUGCCUGUGGAGGGAACCAGUGAACAUAAAGAGAGAGCAACCACAGGGGCUGCAACCACCCAGGCCUGAGGGAUGGGGGGUGCUCAGGCACGACCUGGAGCCGGAGAAAGCCCUGGCUGGAGGAAGCAGCCGCUCACGGGGGCAGUGGCUUUAGGCAGAGGACGUGGCCCUGCUCGCUGUGGCCUGCCGGGGAGACAGCCAGGUUCUGACCUGUCUUCUUCUGCCUCUAGGUUCCCACAGGGGCCUCGUGUUGGCUAGACCCAGCAGGAAGCUCCAGGGCAGGUGAUGCUGGGGAGGAGCGAGGCCCCGCGGCCGGGCCUGAUGCAGGGGUGUCCCCUGGGGAACGCUGUGGAGGCUGAGGCUCAGGGUGUCGAGGGCUCUGCCCUGUACCUGCAGCUUGGCACAGCUGCAGAGCCGCCGUGGGCCCAGGAGAGGCGACGAGCUCCGGGUGGAGCUAGAGCGGCAUGGAGGUCCCAGUUCCCCGGAGGGGCUCAGGAAGAGGGAGGAGGCAAGCAGGGCGGACCUGUCGGUAGGGGGCAGGGUGGGAGGGGAGGCUCAGGUGGCCAGGCUGCUCCUGAGGGUGGCGUCCAGCUACGGAGCUCCAGGCCUCUGUGUGCUGCCCACAGGCGCGGGAAGAGGCAGGGUGGGCUGCCAGCAUCUCCCAGCGGGGCCACCCUGCCUGCCAGCACGCAGACUCCCCCCAGCUGCAGGAUGCUCAGGGCGGGUGCUGUGCUGGGACUGGGCAGGCCCAGGUGUAAAGCGUGGCUGGCAAAGGACUUGCUAAUUAAUUUGUUAAUUAACGAAUGCCCUUCUUCUUCCCACAGAGGGUUCAAGGCGAUUCACAAGAACUCAUACAAUACAGUAAUUACAAAAUAGAGACAGAAUCAUUGCCCAGGGAAAAGGCUGAAUGUACUUAAAACGAAAUAAAAGAAGAAAGGAAGAUGGAACAGUAAAUCCAUGAAAAGUGAGCAGGCAAAUUAGCAGCUGAUUUAGGACCUGUGUCAUUUCUGCAAGCUGAGAGCUGAGUUCCAACGUGGCUCUGAGCUCCCUGGCAGGUGGAGCCUGGGGAGACACAAAGUGCUUAUUUUCAGCAGGGUGUGCAUCCAGGAUUCCCACCAGCUACACAUUUCCCAGCGUGGAAUCCAGGGAAAAAAUGUGCCCUCGCCUUUGUACAUAUCUGGGAAGGCGCAGCGGACCCUGGCUUGCUAGGUGGGUGGCCGGGAAGGGACUGAGAAAGGAGGGGUUUCUUCCCUGGAGCAGCGGGGCUUCUGUGCUGCAGGCUUAGGUGAGACCUCAGGCCGCAGCAGGCUUCAGGGCAGAGGAUCGGACUAAGCCCGGCUGGUCAGAUGGCCAGAGGCCAGGGUGGGGCUUUGGCAGACACCUCUGUCCAGCACACACGGUCACUGGCCUGGUUUGGUCAGCUCCGGCCAGCAUCCUCUUCUGAACGCUCCAUCCUUCUAACUAUGGUACAUGUGUAACUUGGAUAAAAAUAAAACCUAAUCACUGCACCCAA